AGUUGCAGCCCAAGACUGGUUGCCCACUGAAGCUAAGCAGGGCUGAGCCUGGUCAGUACCUGGAUGGGUGACCUCCUGUGAAAACUAGGUUGCUGUUGGAA
rnacentral:rRNA from 1 species